CUCCCUGACGAAGUGCUCCGAAAGGUCUUCCUCCUCGUCAAGGACAUGGUGGCCCUCUUCCGCUGCGCCACGGCGUGCAAGUGGUGGUGCCGCCUGCUCGUGUCCGACCCCUCCUUGGUCCGCCGCUGCUUGCCGGAGGACGCGUGCCGCUCGUCGCCUUUCCCCGGCUUCUUCGCCCAGCAACGGCGCCCUAGAGGGCUCCCCGAGCCGUGCUUCGUCCAGGGGCCCCGUCCGGUGUUCGGCCUGCUCGACUGUCCCCGCCUUGUCGGCUGUGCCGACUCCGCCGUGCCGCUGACCUCUCGCGGCGGCCUCCUCCUCGUGCGCGUCGGCGACCUGCCGGUCCUGUGCAACCCGCUCACCGGCAGGUUCAAGUCGCUGCCCCCUCUAAAGCACAACUGCGGUUCUUCUGCCAAUUACUCGACCGGGUACGCCAUCCUGACCGCGGCCGACUGUUCGAGCUCCUCCGGUGUCGACGGCGACGAGCUGUCCUUCUUCAAGGUGCUGACCAUGACCAUCCAGAAGGACGCGAUGCAGUACCGCCUCCACACGUUCUCGUCGGCCGGGGAUUGGGGAUGGAGCACGCGCUCCGGCCGCGUGAACCACAACCUGUGCGUGCCGCUCUCCCAGCAAAACGCGGUCGUGUGCGGCGGCGCCGCGCGGUGGUUCUUCUGCAACAAGUCGGGCUUGCACUCGUUUGACGUCGGUACCAAGACCGGCGACGUCUCCAUGGCAAAGCUACUCAAAGUGAUACCACGUGACCCCCUCAGCCCCAAAGCUUACGACGAGCCGUACCUUAGCCUCGACGCCGAGGGGAGGCUCACGUUGUUCUCGCUGCAGUUGGACGGCAACCAGGUGGAUAUCUGGACAUGGCACCACGACGGAAGGUGCAUCCCUACUUUGUUGAAGCUAGAUCCACCGUCUAGGAAGAAGAACAAAAACAAGAAGGCUGGAUGUCGGGUGGAGUACGCGUGCUUGGGGGAGAAGAACGGUACGUUGCUCAUCCAGGACGAUCAACAGCGCGUCUACGCUGUCAGUGUCAAGACCGGGGUGAUGCAGGAGGUAGCGGAUUGUCCGCUCGGUGGCGUCGGCCGUAGAGAGAUUGUGCCCUUGGAGAUCGAUUGGCCGGCGCUAUUUGUUUCUCGCCUU
rnacentral:rRNA from 1 species